CGGAAACUUACUUUAAAAACAAUUACGGUUACGUGAUGUUUUGAAUAACAGUAGUUGCUUUGGAAAAUCGUGUUCUAAUACUAGCAAUUAUAAGAACAAUAAAUAAAAUUCCAAAUUUGAAAUCCAGAAAAUUACAACGGCUUUACUACAACCCACAUAAAAUGAUUUAAAGGUAAUAAUCAAAAUUGUAACAUAAACAGUGUGUGUGUGGCUUCCUCCGAGCCCCUAGCAACCCCGAUCCAUCUAAGGCUGGAAAUUACCUGAAAGGUUAAUAAACGGGGUGAGUUUAUGAAAACUCAGUGUGAAAUCCCCUACUAUAAAAAGGAACAGUCAGUCAUCUAAAGGAAUUAAAAGUCUGGCCCCAGCCUUACUUAAAUUUCAGUACCAAUCGGGUCUUAGCCCAUUACAACAGACAGUACCAGAUGGACCUUAGCCCAUUACAGAAUAAGAAACAUUAUCAGAAUUGGAACCAAAAUGAGAAUCAGAAUCAGAAUCAGAAUCAAUAUUAGUAACAGAAUCAGAAUCAGAAUCAGAAUCAGAAUUAGGUGACAGAAUCAGAAUCAGUAACAGAAUCAGAAUCAGAAUCAGUAUUAGUAACAGAAUUAGAAUUACGUGACAGAAUCAGAAUCAGAAUGUGAAUGCAAUCCCAACCCAAUCCAGCCGUAUACACCCCCGUACCAACCUUACACCAUGUGGGGAGACAACUCGACCCACCCAUUUGCUACACACCACAGAAUUUGCAGCAUGGCUGCCAGAACAGAUAUCGUGACAGAGUCACCAGAUACAUAUAUUAUGGCAGAGCCACCAGAAUUAGAUAAUGUGGCAAACCCACCUAACAGAAUACGUGGCACAAAGCCAUAGAUAACUGUAAUAACUUGGGCACAUAGCCAUCAGUGACGGUAAUAUAACUGGCGCACAGCCUUCGGUAAAUAUGAUCGACACAGAGUCGUCAACAAAUAUGUUAGGCACAUAGCUACAGGUAAAUACGUUUGGCACGAAGCCAUAUUCAAGAUGGCACAAAGCCAUAUUUAGGUUGGCACAGAGCCAUUAAUAACGGGUCUAUAAUCGGCACGAAGCCCACAACAACGGCACACAGCCUUCGGUAGCGUGAUCGGCACUUAGCCAUCGAUCGGUCAACAGAUAUUGUGACAGAGUCACCAAAUACAGAUAUUGUGGCAGAGCCACCAGAACAGAUAUUUGUGGCAUAGCCACCAGAACGCUUCCUCCGUACAAAAUCCCAACCCAUGCAACAUGUCAUGUAUGCAGAAUGUCAUGCCCAUAUUUGAAUCAAACAAUCACAGUCAAGUCAUUCAUAUCACCAACAUAUAUUCACAAUCAAAUCCGUCAAACACACAGUCUAAGUCAGUCACUUGCCCACAAGGGCAAAACAAUCAUUUAACACCCUAGGGGCAAAAUGGUAAUUUUACCCCACAAGGGUAUCUCGGUAAUUCUACCCUACAGGGGUAUUUCGGUAUUUCUACCCUACAAGGGUAUUUCGAUAAUUCUAACCAACAGGGGUAUUUUGGUAAUUCUAUCCUAUAAGGGUAUUUCAGUAAUUCUACCCUACAGGGGUAUUUCCGUAAUUUCACAAUCAAGGGUAAAAUGGUAAUUCUGUAAAUCGAGGGUAAAAGGAUAAUUUUGUAAACUGAGGGUAACCUAGUAAUUCUGUAAAUCAAGGGUAAAACGGUAAUUUUACAAAUCGAGGGUAAAACGGUAAUUCUAUAAAUCGAGGGUAAAAUAAUAAUUCUGUAAACUGAGGGUAAAACGGUAAUUUUAUAAAUCGAGGAUAAAAUUGUAAUUUUACAAAUCGAGGGUAAAAUGGUAAUUCUAUAAAUCGAGGGUAAAAUAGUAAUUCUGUAAACUGAGGGUAAAACGGUAAUUCUGUAAAUCGAAGGUAAAACGGUAAUUUUGUAAACUGAGGGUAAAAUAGUAAUUCUAUAAAUCGAGGGUAAAACGGUAAUUCUGUAAACUGAGGGUAAAAUGGUAAUUCUGUAAAUCAAGGGUAAAACGGUAAUUUUAAAAAUCAAGGGUAAAACGAUAAUUCUGUAAAUCGAGGGUAAAACGGUAAUUUUAAAAAUCGAGGGUAAAAUGGUAAUUUUGUAAAUCGAGGGUAAAACGGUAAUUCUGUAAAUCGGGAGUACUUUGGUAAUUUUACAAGUCGAGGGCAUUUUAGUAAUUGGUAAACUAAAGUAUUCUAAACAUGGAUAACAAUACAAAUGGGCCUAAAGCCUAUUCUGGGCCCAAAUGGGCCCACACGCUCGUGUGGCCCUUUUAGCCCAAACCUAGCCACAGAUAUGAGAUUCACCUAGCCUAGUCCAAUAUUUACUACACAAUCAAACAACUUAUCCAAUUGGGCCCGUAGGCCCAUUGGGCCCACAUGGCCCCUUUCGGCCUAUCGCGGCCCGAAGUAGCCAUCCAACAACAAGAGUGGUGAUAAAUACACACCUGAUUGGAGACUGGAGUUAAUCCACGCUCCGAGCACUCUUAGCCGACGCCCAACCCAAACGAGCACGCCAUAAAGCGAAAGGGAUCAGCCAAGAAAGGUACCUUUACUCUCCUCAUGGUUCUCUCUAUUUAAAGCCAGCUUCCCAUCCACUCUUAUGUUAGCUUCCCGAUGUGGGAUCCCUCCGACAUCAGAGUUUAAAUUCAACACCAACUCUUGCCGCCCCCUGUUAGCAAAAUAAAUGCUCUUUGCUUGCUAUGGGAUUCGAACCCAUGCCUCCCCUCAAAUGCUCCACACGCCACUUGCCACUAAGCCAUAAGGUUUUUUGUGUCACAAUUUCUCCAACAAUAUUCUUAAGGCCUACCUACUACACCCAGGGUUUGAUUCACCUUAAACCAAAUUUUUUGCUAGAGUCCAGGUUUAAACCCAGGACUUGUCCAACACUUCUCAACACACUUAACCACUAAAGCAAGCCUUCAUUAACGAAAUUUGCAUGCACAACAGAAUAUUAUAAGCUGCCUUCAACCGCUCCCAUGCUCAAGGCCCAAAACUUCUAGGCCCAAAUUCAGGGUGUUACAACUCUACCUCCCUUAAAGAAAUUUCGUCCUCGAAAUUUCCAUCUAACAGGGUAGUCGUGUAACAUCUACCCCACUACGCUACCGCUGCGCACUCUGAUCCUACUAUCACUAUCACACUUCAAUUAGAACUUGAAAAAUCUCAUACAUACAACACUUAUUCACUAAAGUAGACACAUAUUUAUCACACAUAUAUACAAUUUCUAUAUCCAAACAUCACAUCCACAUAAAAUAAAUACCAAAUUUAAAUUCAGACCAAUAUCUAAGGAAUCCAUAGUAUUUCAAUUUCUAAAUAGACAAAAGUAUUAAGAAGACUUACGGAUUCGGCGCCGGAGACUCGGUGUGCCACACUUUUUAAGAGAAAUACUUCAAACAGACCACGUGGUUGAAAAUAAUUUUCUAAAAUUCAACCUUUGAAAACCCAAUCCACAGCCGAGCUGUUGCAACCCAGGCUCUGAUACCACUAAAUGUAACACCCCAAACCCGGCCUGAAAGUUUGGCUCAAACUUGGCGUGUCACAUUGAAGUGUUUUUCGAAAACCAUGUUUCCAUUAAAAACCCUUCUUAAUAAUUAAAAACUUAUACCCUUUUUAAACCUUGUUAGAAAACCUCAGCUGAAUAACAUUCUUAACAACUUUGUAAAAAUCUUGGUAGUUGCGGAAACUUACUUUAAAAACAAUUGCGGUUACGUGAUGUUUUGAAUAACAGUAGUUGCUUUGGAAAAUCGUGUUCUAAUACUAGCAAUUAUAAGAACAAUAAAUAAAAUUCCAAAUUUGAAAUCCAGAAAAUUACAACGGCUUUACUACAACCCACAUAAAAUAAUUUAAAGGUAAUAAUCAAAACUGUAACAUAAACAGUGUGUGUGUGGCUUCCUCCGAGCCCCUAGCAACCCCGAUCCAUCUAAGGCUAGAAAUUACCUGAAAGGUUAAUAAACGGGGUGAGUUUACGAAAAGUCAGUGUGAAAUCCCCUACUAUAAAAAGGAACAGUCAGUCAUCUAAAAGAAUUAAAAGUCUGGCCCCAGCCUUACUUACAAUUUCAGUACCAAUCGGACCUUAGCCCAUUACAACAGACAGUACCAGAUGGACCUUAGCCCAUUACAGAAUAAGAAACAUUAUCAGAAUUGGAACCAAAAUGAGAAUCAGAAUCAGAAUCAGUAACAGAAUCAGAAUCAGAAUCAGUAACAGAAUCAGAAUCAGAAUCAGUAUUAGUAACAAAAUCAAAAUUACGUGACAGAAUCAGAAUCAGAAUGUGAAUGCAAUCCCAACCCAAUCCAGCCGUAUACACCCCGUACCAACCUUACACCAUGUGGGGAGACAACUCGACCCACCCAUCUGCUACACACCACAGAAUUUGCAGCAUGGCUACCAGAACAGAUAUCGUGACAGAGUCACCAGAUACAUAUAUUAUGGCAGAGCCACCAGAAUCAGAUAAUGUGGCAAACCCACCUAACAGAAUACGUGGCACAAAGCCAUAGAUAACUAUAAUAACUUCGACACAUAGCCAUCAGUGACGGUAAUAUAACUGGCGCACAGCCUUCGGUAAAUAUGAUCGACACAGAGUCGUCAACAAAUAUGUUAGGCACAUAGCUACAGGUAAAUACGUUUGGCACGAAGCCAUAGUCAAGAUGGCACAAAGCCAUAUUUAGGUUGGCACAGAGCCAUUAAUAACGGGUCUAUAAUCGACACGAAGCCCACAACAACGGCACAUAGCCUUCGGUAGCGUGAUCGGCACUUAGCCAUCGAUCGGUCAACAGAUAUUGUGACAGAGUCACCAAAUACAGAUAUUGUGGCAGAGCCACCAGAACAGAUAUUUGUGGCAUAGCCACCAGAACGCUUCCUCCGUACAAAAUCCCAACCCAUGCAACAUGUCAUGUAUGCAGAAUGUCAUGCCCAUAUUUGAAUCAAACAAUCACAGUCAAGUCAUUCAUAUCACCAACAUAUAUUCACAAUCAAAUCCGUCAAACAUACAGUCCAAGUUAGUCACUUGCCCACAAGGGCAAAACAGUCAUUUAACACCCUAGGGGCAAAAUGGUAAUUUUAUCCUACAAGGGUAUCUCGGUAAUUCUACCCUACAGGGGUAUUUCGGUAUUUCUACCCUACAAGGGUAUUUUGAUAAUUCUACCCUACAGGGGUAUUUUGGUAAUUCUAUCAUAUAAGGGUAUUUCAGUAAUUCUACCCAAUAGGGGUAUUUCAGAAAUUCUACCCUACAGGGGUAUUUUAGUAAUUUUACAAUCAAGGGUAAAAUGAUAAUUCUGUAAAUCGAGGGUAAAACGAUAAUUUUGUAAACUGAGGGUAACCUAGUAAUUCUAUAAAUCAAGGGUAAAACGGUAAUUUUACAAAUCGAGGGUAAAACGGUAAUUCUAUAAAUCGAGGGUAAAAUAAUAAUUCUGUAAACUGAGGGUAAAACGGUAAUUUUAUAAAUCGAGGAUAAAAUUGUAAUUUUACAAAUCGAGGGUAAAAUGGUAAUUCUAUAAAUCGAGGGUAAAAUAGUAAUUCUGUAAACUGAGGGUAAAACGGUAAUUCUGUAAAUCGAAGGUAAAACGGUAAUUUUGUAAACUGAGGGUAAAAUAGUAAUUCUAUAAAUCGAGGGUAAAACGGUAAUUCUGUAAACUGAGGGUAAAAUGGUAAUUCUGUAAAUCAAGGGUAAAACGGUAAUUUUAAAAAUCAAGGGUAAAACGAUAAUUCUGUAAAUCGAGGGUAAAACGGUAAUUUUAAAAAUCGAGGGUAAAAUGGUAAUUUUGUAAAUCGAGGGUAAAACGGUAAUUCUGUAAAUCGGGAGUACUUUGGUAAUUUUACAAGUCGAGGGCAUUUUAGUAAUUGGUAAACUAAAGUAUUCUAAACAUGGAUAACAAUACAAAUGGGCCUAAAGCCUAUUCUGGGCCCAAAUGGGCCCACACGCUCGUGUGGCCCUUUUAGCCCAAACCUAGCCACAGAUAUGAGAUUCACCUAGCCUAGUCCAAUAUUUACUACACAAUCAAACAACUUAUCCAAUUGGGCCCGUAGGCCCAUUGGGCCCACAUGGCCCCUUUCGGCCUAUCGCGGCCCGAAGUAGCCAUCCAACAACAAGAGUGGUGAUAAAUACACACCUGAUUGGAGACUGGAGUUAAUCCACGCUCCGAGCACUCUUAGCCGACGCCCAACCCAAACGAGCACGCCAUAAAGCGAAAGGGAUCA
rnacentral:lncRNA from 1 species